CCCGCACAAGCGGUGGAGCAUGUGGUUUAAUUCGAUGAUACGCGAGGAACCUUACCGUGGGCUACAAAUGUAUGUUGACGUAUUCUGAAAGGGAUACUUCUUCGGACAAUAUACAAGGUGCUGCAUGGUUGUCGUCAGCUCGUGCCGUGAGGUGUCGGGUUAAGUCCCAUAACGAGCGCAACCCCUAUCAUUAGUUGCCAUCAGGUCAAGCUGGGGACUCUAAUGAAACUGCCUACGCAAGUAGUGAGGAAGGUGGGGAUGACGUCAAAUCAGCACGGCCCUUACGUCCAGGGCUACACACGUGCUACAAUGGCCGGUACAAAGGGCAGCUACCUGGUGACAGGAUGCUAAUCUCAAAAGCCGGUCUCAGUUCGGAUCGGAGUCUGCAACCCGACUCCAUGAAGUUGGAAUCGCUAGUAAUCGUGGAUCAGCAUGCCACGGUGAAUACGUUCCCGGGCCUU
rnacentral:rRNA from 1 species